rnacentral:rRNA from 1 species
CAUUAAGUUGGGCACUCCAGGGAGACUGCCGGUGAUAAACCGGAGGAAGGUGGGGAUGACGUCAAAUCAUCAUGCCCCUUAUGACUUGGGCUACACACGUGCUACAAUGGAGGAUACAAAGAGUCGCCAACCCGCGAGGGUGAGCUAAUCUCUUAAAGUCCUUCUCAGUUCGGAUUGCAGUCUGCAACUCGCCUCCAUGAAGUCGGAAUCGCUAGUAAU